UUUUUUUUUUUUUUUUAAUGGCAGUACCCUUAGCAUAUGGAAGUUCCUGGGCCAGAUGCUGAAUCCAAGCCACAGCUGUGAUCUACACCAAAGCUGUGGCAACACUGGAUCCUUUAACCCACUCCACUGGUCCAGGGAUUGAACCUGUGUUUUUGCUGCACCCUCAGUCGCUGCAGUCGGAUUCUUAACCCACUGAGCCAAGCGGGAACUCCCAGUUUGGAUUCUUUGAAAACGUAAAAAUGGGUUUCUUCAGACAAAGACCUUCAGGGGAAUUCCCACCUCCCUUUUAAAUCUAUGAUCCAUGUGGCCGCGGGAAGAGAUUAUUUUAUAUUCUUAAAUCCAAAUUAAUAAAUGACUACUGCCUAUUUAAAAUUAAAGCAUUUUGGCCUGUUGGCGGCCCUCCAUCUCCCUCAGCCUGACCCUGGAGGGAGCCCCCCUCCGCCCCAGGCUGUGUCUGUGAGCCGAGGCUCCUUUGGCGGAGCCAGGCUGGUUUGGCGCCUGCCUUGCGGAGGCUCGCUGGGAACCGCGCUCGCUCGGGCUGUCGCCUCCGCCUCUUUGGGGCUUGCUGCCCGCCCACCCCCACCUUAAAAGGGCAAUGCCAGGCGACGGGCCCCGCCCGGGGCAGGGGGUUGCAGGCGGGCCUCUGCUAGGCUCGCCAACCGGGCGCGCGCUGCCCCCGCACGUGCUCCAGGGCGGAAGGUCCAGGCCUGCGCUAGCCUGCCCGGGCAGGCCUUGCAGAGCCACUUCUUUCUCGUCUACCCCGACCCUCCCCGAGAAGCAGAGCAGCUUCCCGUGGCCCGGUGCCGGCCACGUUUCCUUCCCACCCCACCGCACCGCACCCUACCCUUCUCUCUCGCCCCUCCCCGGGAGGCCGUGCCUCCGCCACACCCCCUCCUCGGGUUUAAGAACUUGGGCUGGACAGUUUCACAUCAGAUGAUGGGAAAAUCGAGGGCUUAACGGCUGAAUUUGUGAACUUGGAGUUCGUCAGUUUAAUAAAUGUAGGCUUGAUUUCAGUUUCAAAUCUCUCCAAAUGACCUAAAUUGAAAAAGCUUGAGCUCAGUGAGAGUAAAAUCUAUGGAAGUCUGGAUAUGUUAGCAGAAAAACUUCCAUAUCUCACAUACCUGAAUUGAAGUGGAAAUAAACGGAAAGAUAUCAGCACCCUGCAACCUUUGAACAACUUGGACUGUCUGAAAAGCCUGGAUCUGUUUAACUGUGAGGUUACUAAGCUGAAUAAUUAUCGAGGGGGUGUCUUCAAGCAGAACCCACCUGGAUGGCUGUGAUAGAGAGGAUCUUAAAGCCUCUGUCUCAGAUGCCAAGGUGGAUGGUAUGGAUGAAGAGGAGGAAGAUGAAGAAGGAGAAGAUGAAGGCAAGGAGGAGGAGGAUUGUAACGAAGAAGGGUUUGAUGAUGAAGAGGAUGAAGUCAGGGGGGAGGAAGAAGAAUUUGGACAGGAUGAAGAAGUUGAUGAAGACAGUGAGUAUGAAGAUGAGGAUGAAGAGGAGGAAGAAAUCAGGAAAGAUGAAAAGAAGAAAAGAGAAAUAGAAGAUGAAGGAGAAGAUGAUUAAGACCCCGAAUAACCUACAAAAAAGAACAAAAAAGUAGCUGUGAUACAAAUUCCAGGACACCCACCCACCCAAAGAGCCAAAGAAUAGUUCCUAUGACAUUCUGCCUUCCUCCAUUUAGUCUGUCUUGGAAAGCCACCACCAAGACUUCACCCCAACAAAAUUGUUGGCAUUGUUAGGUUUUCAACAUUAAGGCUCUUGCUAUAGCGUGGAGAGCUGUGAUUGGUGAGUCAACCCUCUGUGGCUACCAGUUACACCAAGACCGUAACCAGCAUUUUUACUUUCUGUACAACAAAGAAGCUUUGUAAGUAAAAUCUUAACAUUUGGGGUGUGUUUUUUUUAUGCUUUUUUUUUAAUGAAAUUUUUUUACGUUAGAACAUUUUAUGUGACAACUGCCAAAAAAGUAUUUUUAAGAAUAAAAUAAAUGAAAUAAACUUUCCUCCUUGGUAAAAAAUAAAAUAAAAUUACAGUAUUUUAUUUUUAAUGAUCUGUGCCAAUACAAGUUUCGGAGUGGAGGAUAUAUAUUUUUACUACAAUUUUAUUGAUGAAUGGAGUUAGAGUUUUUACAAUACAUAAAUUGAAGGCAAAAUUGAAUUUACCCCAAAGAUAACUAAGCUUAAGCUUCAAGGGCCCUAAUUUUGAAAGAGCAAUAUCUGGUCACAUUUUCCUAAAGAGGAUCACAAAUUUGCAUUAUGUUUAAGCCCCAUAGAACUUGAGUCCACCAUUGACUGGGAUAGUUUGUUGGAAUUGCAUAAGUGUUUAAUAAUCCUAGUACUUUCUUUAAAAUACAUAUAUUUGGUCAUAUUAUUCUGCUAUUUUCUACAUCUUAGGUGUGAUAGACUAUUUUAUUUGCUCACAAUUUUUCAUUCCUCUCCACUUAAGCCAUGCUUCCUUGCAGUGCAACAUACUUCCUGUCCCUACUGAUUUUGGACUUGCUUUCAAUAAAAGAUGAGCAGACAAGAAGUAUGCUAUGUCCCCAGCAGAAAGUUACCCUGUCCUAGUGCAGUUUGGCUCUGUUUCUCAACUUCUGCCCUCCACUCAGUGUAUUGCAUGCGUUAAAGAACAAGUGUUGUUUCUACCUGGGUCUCAGAAUGAGAAGACACACAGAGCACAGCCAAGUUCAGCAUAAGCUCAGUUGACCUACAGUCCUUAUGUAAUGUUAGCAAGAAAUAAAUGUUUGUAGUUGCAUUGAGAUUUGGUCAUUAUUUGUCACUGUAGCAAAAGCCAGAGUGAUUGUCAUUCUGCCUACUUUUUCAUUUUACCAUAUGUUAUCUAUCAUCUCUCUAUCUAUCCAUCCAUCCACAGUAAUAUUUUCCUGAAUUUGCAGGAUGUGUAUUAUACUCUGGUUGCCUUUAACUAGCAUACUUAUUGAUGGUUGCCAAGGACUGAGUCAUUAAAUUCAUACCUUCUCUUCCCUGGAGACCGUCCCUUGUAAAUGCUUUUUUCUGUUCUUUUUUAAAAAGUAUAUUAGCAGGUUUUCACAAGGAAGGCAGCUUACACCACUAGGGACUUCAAAUUUCAAGUCUGUAUUACAUGCUCGCCACUUUCUGAAAAUGCAAAAUACAUCUUUGUCUGUUUUCUUGAAGUUAUUUUAUAAAAUAGGUGGGGUUUGCUUUCUAAUUAUUUUUAAUUAUGCCUCUAUAGAAUUACUGCAAAUUUCCUCUGCUUGUUUAUCUGAAAACCCAUUUUGUGAAGUGAGGCUGUGUCCCCUGAUGGGCACUAUUUACAUUUUAAAGCAUCUAAACACAAGUCUCUUCUGCAGAUCCCCUCCAAUGUGGCCAAAUUAAUGUCAUUUCAAUUUUUGCCAUUCCACUAAAUUUCCCUAAUCAGUGAUAACAGAUGUUAUUUGCAUGUGCGAGUUCAUUAAUAUGUUACUUCCUUAAACACUCAAGCUUUAUCAAGAAAUAUAUCCCAGGAGUUCCUGUCGUGGCUCAGCGGUAACAAACCAGACUAGUAUCCAGGAGGACGCAAGUUUGAUCCCUGGCCUCGCUCAGUAGGUUAAGGAUCCGGCAUUGCCAUGAGCUCAAGGGCAGGGACCGAACCCGCAACCUCAUGGUUCCUAGUCGGAUUCGUUAACCACUGUGCCACGACGGGAACUCCGGAAGUACCUAGUUUUGGUACCAGCAGCAUAUGGAAGUUCACAGCUGUGGCUACAGGGAUCCUUAAACCAGGGCCGGGGAUGGAACCUGAGCCUCCAU
rnacentral:lncRNA from 1 species